CUGUACUGUCCGCCAGGUGGCACCAACACAACGCCAUUUAAAUGUGUUCCAGGUGUUCCCUGUUGCGUCAGAGUGUACAGCAGCACCAGCAGCUCUCAAUAAUAAUAACGAAAAAGAGAACGGAUUACCAUGGAACCUGGUAUUCUGGGGAUUUGUUUCUAAAGAAGUGAGGACAGAAGUGAAGAGACAAACUUCCAGCCCUGGAACCAAUUAGAGCAGGAGGAGCCCCUCCACAAGUCCACCAGACACGCUUUGGGUAUGGAGACCGAGGCAGGUGCCACUCUGGAGAAGUAAUCAACAGCACCUCUGUUCUAAGCAAAAUAAAGAUGACAGCCAAGGUGUUGAAGGACCAGCGGCCGUUCAUGGUCAUCUCUCAGCCCUCAUGAAGAAAGUCAACACACACUCAAUUCUCACCACCUGGUGGUCAUUUUAUUCUGCAAGCUCUGGAAGAAAAAACACACACAA